rfam:Stegodyphus mimosarum contig94175, whole genome shotgun sequence.
GCCUUCGUGGUGUAAUGGUCAGCACACUGAGCCGGUAUUUCAGAGGUCCGCGGUUCAAUUCCCGGCGAAGGCG